UGAGGUGAGGGUGAUCUGACUGAGAUAUCUGUCACCUCAUUGAUCGCCAGGUUGAUUUGGCUGACCUGGCUGGCUAGGCGGGUGCCCCCUACCUCCCUCACCACUCCGCGUGUGUCCCUCCCAUAGUCGCAUGCUUGGCUGAAAAGGACGACCUGCCCAACAGAAGGAGGAUCGUCCUUUGGUCAAGGGUGUCGGAGUAGCUGCGCUCCCCUGCUGGAACCUCCAAACAAGCUCUCAAAGACCCUAUCCCCAAACAAGGUCAUCUUCCCAGAAACUAAGGGGCAGGGGUUGUUCUCUGUGCCACAGAGU
rnacentral:snRNA from 1 species